GCGGUAUGGGAUGGGGUCGCGUCCUAUCAGCUUGAUGGCGGGGUAACGGCCCACCAUGGCUUCGACGGGUAGCCGGCCUGAGAGGGCGACCGGCCACAUUGGGACUGAGAUACGGCCCAGACUCCUACGGGAGGCAGCAGUGGGGAAUAUUGCACAAUGGGCGCAAGCCUGAUGCAGCGACGCCGCGUGCGGGAUGACGGCCUUCGGGUUGUAAACCGCUUUUGACUGGGAGCAAGCCCUUCGGGGUGAGUGUACCUUUCGAAUAAGCACCGGCUAACUACGUGCCAGCAGCCGCGGUAAUACGUAGGGUGCAAGCGUUAUCCGGAAUUAUUGGGCGUAAAGGGCUCGUAGGCGGUUCGUCGCGUCCGGUGUGAAAGUCCAUCGCUUAACGGUGGAUCCGCGCCGGGUACGGGCGGGCUUGAGUGCGGUAGGGGAGACUGGAAUUCCCGGUGUAACGGUG
rnacentral:rRNA from 1 species